AUGAAUGCUAGCGGUGUGCCUGAGAUAUGCAAGUCGAGCGACAUUUUUCUCGCAAGAGAAAAGUGAAGCGGCGGACGGCUGAGUAACACGUAGGGAAAUCUGCCCCUCUCUGGAGGAUAGCUCACGGAAAGGUGAGGUAAUACUCCAUAGUCCAAGCCUAGCUUGGUAAAGAUUUAUCGGAGAGGGAUGAGCCUGCGGCCUAUCAGGUAGUUGGUGAGGUAAAAGCUCACCAAGCCAAUGACGGGUAGCUAAUCUGAGAGGAUGGUUAGCCAGAGGGGGACUGAGACACGGCCCCCACUCCUACGGGAGGCAGCAAUCAGGAAUAGUCGGCAAUGGACGAAAGUCUGACCGCGCGACCACCGCGUGAGGGGAUGAGUUCGAAAGAGCGUAAACCUCUGUGGUAGGGAAAGAAGUCUCGCAAGAGAUUGACGGUACCCUACUAGAAAGUAGCCGCUAACUGCGUGCCAGAAGCGUCGGUAACACGUGGGCUACAAGCAUUAUCCGGUAGUAUUGGGUGUAAAGGGUCGCGUAGGUGGUUUAAUAAGUUAUCUUCUAAAUCUCCAUGCUCAACAUGGAUUAAGGAGAUAAGACUAUUAAACUAGAGUUUUCUUUAGGGCGAUUGGAACUGAAGGAGGAGUAGUGAAAUGCGUUGAUACCUUCGGGAACACUAGUGGCGAAGGCGAAUCGCUGGAAGAAGACUGACACUGAGGCACGAAAGCUAGGGGAGCGAAGCAGAUUAGAGACCUGCGUAGUCCUAGCCCUAAACUAAUGCUUGCUAGCUGCAUCUUUUUUCAUUUAUUUGAGAUCAGGUGUGGCGAAGGUAACCCGUUAAGCAAGCCGCCUGGGGAGUACGGUCGCAAGGCUAAAACUCAAAGGAAUUGGCGGGGAGGCACACAACCAGUGGAACAUGUGGUUCAAUUUGAUACGAACCAAAGAACCUCACCAGGGAUUGACAUGCUAGAGUUCUAUACCUAAGAAACUAGGUAGAUGCGCAAGCAGGCUAGCACAGGUGCUGCAUGGCUGUCGUCAGUUCGUUCCGUGAGGAGUGCCCUUAAGUGGGACAACGAACGCAACCCCUAUCUUGUGUUAAAUAUGUCACAAGAGACUGCCUCGAUUUUUUGAUCGGGAGGAAUGCGGGGCAGAUGUCAAGUCAGCAUGGUCCUUAUACCCUGGGCCACACACAUGUUACAAUGAGGAGAAACAAUGAGCCUUGCCAACCUGCAAAGGUGGAGCGAAUCUCAGAAAUCUUCUCUCAGUAGGGAUUGAGGUCUGCAACUCGACCUCAUGAACCCGGAAUUGGUAGUAAUCGCGGGUCAGCUACACCGCGGUGAAUACGUUCUUGCCUCUUGCACACACCGCCCGUCAAACCAACAAAGUCGGAAGAAUUUGAACUCCCCCGUAAGAGGGAGGAGGAUUUUUUUGGCGAUGAGGGUU
rnacentral:rRNA from 1 species